AUUGAACGCUGGCGGCAUGCCUUACACAUGCAAGUCGAACGGUAACAGGUUAAGCUGACGAGUGGCGAACGGGUGAGUAAUGUAUCGGAACGUGCCCAGUCGUGGGGGAUAACUACUCGAAAGAGUGGCUAAUACCGCAUCCGACCUGAGGGUGAAAGCGGGGGACCGUAAGGCCUUGCGCGAUUGGAUCGGCCGAUCUCAGAUGAGCUAGUUGGUGGGGUAAAAGCCCACCAAGGCGACGAUCUGUAGCUGGUCUGAGAGGACGACCAGCCACACUGGGACUGAGACACGGCCCAGACUCCUACGGGAGGCAGCAGUGGGGAAUUUUGGACAAUGGACGCAAGUCUGAUCCAGCCAUGCCGCGUGCGGGAAGAAGGCCUUCGGGUUGUAAACCGCUUUUGUCAGGGAAGAAACGAGUUUCUCUAAUACAGAGACUUAAUGACGGUACCUGAAGAAUAAGCACCGGCUAACUACGUGCCAGCAGCCGCAGUAAUAC
rnacentral:rRNA from 1 species